rnacentral:rRNA from 1 species
UGGAUAACUGUGGGAAACUAGAACUAAUACAUGUCAACUGCUAUCACGGGGUAGCGUGCAUUUAUUCUUGCCCAAAACCAACACUGACUAAGCUAAGCGUAUGCUGGCUGCGUGCCGGUUCGCCGGUGCGUGGUUGGUGUGCGUGCACGGCUCAGGCAUGUACACGGUGAUUCUGAAUAACUGAUGCUGAUCGUACAGGGCCCGCGUGCCCAUGAUAUUUCAAUCAAAUUCCUGCCCUAUCAUAUUUGUUGGUAGAGUAGCGGCCUACCAAGGUGACGACGGGUAACGGGGAAUCAGGGUUCGAUUCCGGAGAGGGAGCCUGAGAAACAGCUACCACGUCCAAGGAUGGCAGCAGGCGCGCAAACUAUCCAAUCCAGAUUCUGGGAGAUGGUGACGAGACAUAUUGGAACUCACCAGCAUUGCUGGUCGAGUUACCAGAUAGACUACAACCUAAGACAGUGCUAAAAUAAUCAACAGGAGGGCAAGUCUGGUGCCAGCAGCCGCGGUAAUACCAGCUCCUGUGGCCUAUAUGGUCGUUGCUGCGGUUAAAAAGCUCGUAGUUGAAAUACGGUGCGCUCGAGAGCUGUAUCAGCGGUGAGCCUGCCUCUCAUGGAUCAGGCAGUGUGUGUAAAAUCACAUUGUCUGGCGUGACUGUUGCAGUUUGUGGGCCAGUGUGUACUGUGCUCCGCAUUGGUGUGGCGCAUCAGGGUACGUGGCGCAAGUCACGUGCACUGGGUGUGUUGUGCCAGUCCGUGGGUGUCGGCACUGGUUCAUUUCAUCAUUGAGACGACAUUAGAGUGUGCUUUCUCGUCCAGCCCCCGUGACAUAUCCUUAACUGGAUACACGGGACGCUAGGCGAAUUGUGCCUUGAGUAAAAUAGAGUGCUCAAAGCAGGCUAGGCAUGUAAAAGUGUCAUUGCCCGUAUACUCCAGCAUGGAACGAAUGUCCAAUUGCUUGAACCACCCUGCGGCCUGGUUCGUUGGUUGAGUGUCUGUGUGCGCGGUGCAAGUCGCGUGCAUGGUCUCGGUAUGUGCGUAGAGCGUUCAGUGUGUGGUGUGCACGCAAGUGUGCACUUACUACUGGGCAAGCUGGCGCACGAACUCCAGGUCGUAUCCGUGUGAGUGUGUACCCGGCGGCGAGACCAGAGUUCAUUUGUGUGUAUGUAAACGGUCACCGUGAUGGUGUCACAGGUCUCCUACCACUGCCAUCGCCAGGCUGGCUGCGCGCACGUCCGUGCAGGCGCACUGUUACAUUAUGUGUGUGGCAGUGCGUCUGUGGGGGCGAGUCAUGUGCGCAGCUUGAAUCUGCGUGAUGUCUUGCAGUGUAGGAGUCUAUACUGUGCGCUCGCGGUCCGGCUCUGUGUAUAUGCGUGUGAGAGCACAAUAACAUUGUCUCUCACCCAGACAUACAUGUGUGCAGCCGCGUGUGUGUGCGAGGUCAGUGUGCCAUACCAAAGCCACCCUUGCCCCCUCGCAUCAGUGUACACGUGUUGAGGCUUGUGGUGUUGUGUGUGUCUCAAAAAAGCACCCACCCUUCUGGCAGCCACCGUUUAGUGCGGUGCGUCUCCGUUGUGGUGCCGGUGUGAGGCACAUCAAGCACACCCACAUGCUAGCCCUCAGCGUGAUCAACGCACUGGUGAUGAUGGCUUGCGGUGGUGGCACUGCUGCCACCUCCACGCUAUAGCACACCGGACAAAACUGCACUCUUGUGUAUGUGCGCGUGUUUCACUCGCCUCGGGAAUGAUGCCACUUGUGCGUAUGGGUAUCGGUUAACAGAGACAUUUGGGGGCAUUAGUAUUUGGCAGCGAGAGGUGAAAUU